rnacentral:rRNA from 1 species
UAGUCAUAUGCUUGUCUCAAGGAUUAAGCCAUGCAUGUCUCAGUAUAAGUCUAUCUAUGUCGAAACUGCGAAUGGCUCAUUAAAACAGUUAUAACUCGCUCGAUUAUCUACUAAUAUUUGGAUACCUGUGGUAAUUCUAGAGCUAAUACAUGCGUAAAGGCGUGACUUCUUGGAGACGCUGCACAUAUUAGAUACAGAACCAAUCUGCGUAGCAGAAUUUGGAUGACUCAUGAUAUACGUACGGAGCGCAUGACUUGUGUCGGCGCUGCAUCGUCCAUGUUUCUGACCUAUCAGCUUUCGACGGUAGGGUAUUGGCCUACCGUGGCAUUGACGGGUGACGGAGAAUUAGGGUUCGACUCCGGAGAGGGAGCCCGAGAAACGGCUACCACAUCUAAGGAAGGCAGCAGGCGCGUAAAUUACCCAAUCCUGAUACAGGGAGGUAGUGAC